AUUAUACAAAUAGGCAGUAUACUGAGUGAGCGCCCACUAAGCGCUGGGCUGGGGGUCUCCAACCCGGAACAGAAGCCGGCCACAACCCUCGCUCCUUGUCCUCGCGGCCGUUAUAGGCCGAAAGCAAAAUCCAAUCCCGGGCCAUUCUGGGCGGAUUGCCGGAACCUGGAUCGCAACGCUUGGGAAGACCCCCGCCCCGCCCAGCGAUAUACGUGCCCUGAGUCCCAGUGACGGCCCCCUGGACAGCGGAGCCUGCUGCAGCGACGCGACGCGCUAGUAUAAAUCUCAAAGCAAGGCUUGUUGGACAAAUAAAUGAAGACAAGCCCAAGAGCCCAGGAAAACGACCGGGAACAGCAGGGCCUCCAUGACUCACACAAGCUUCAUCCCUGAACCAAGGACGCAGCCUGCCAACAAUGGCCCCAAGCCACACCCCGCCACUGGGGGAACUGAUGCUGUGGUGAGAAGUGACAGCUUUCUGUUGAUUCUCUUUUUUUUUUUUUAAACAGAAUAUGAAUUGAGACGUAAUUUCAUUUUCAUAAUCAGAACCUAACACUUAGUAACUAAUGUUGGUGGAAGCAAAUGAGAUCGCAGUUUGUCUGUUCCAAACUCAUCUCUGGGAAAAGGAGGAGGAAAAAUUAUUGGCACUAUCUUCAGAAUCAUAGCUGAAGAUGCAGAAAUUGUUCAUCCCAAUGUUGCCUUUCUGAAGAAAGCCACCACUAAGAAAACGAAAAGAGAAGCAGCAGACUAGGAGAAAAUAUUUGCAAAACCAAAUCUGAUAACGGACUUGUAUCCAGUAUUUGCAAAGAACUUCUACAACUUAGUAACAACAACAACAACAACAACAAAGGAGCAAAAUCCCCGGUGGUCUAGCGGUUAGGAUUAAAAAAGAAAGAGAAAAGAAGCAAAAUAUAUGAACAGCUAUUUCUCCAAAGGAGAUAUACCAAAAGCUAAUAAACAUGUGCACAGAUGCUCAACA